rnacentral:rRNA from 1 species
ACUCCUACGGGAGGCAGCAGUGAGGAAUAUUGGUCAAUGGGCGCAAGCCUGAACCAGCCAUCCCGCGUGCAGGAAGACGGCCCUAUGGGUUGUAAACUGCUUUUCCAGGGAGAGAAACCUGCGCACGUGUUGCGCAAUUGACGGUACCCUGGGAAUAAGCAUCGGCUAACUCCGUGCCAGCAGCCGCGGUAAUACGGAGGAUGCAAGCGUUAUCCGGGUUCAUUGGGUUUAAAGGGUGCGUAGGCGGACUAUUAAGUCAGUGGUGAAAGCCUGCAGCUUAACUGCAGAACUGCCAUUGAUACUGAUAGUCUUGAGUUUGGUUAAGGUAGGCGGAAUGUGUAAUGUAGCGGUGAAAUGCUUAGAUAUUACACAGAACACCAAUUGCGUAGGCAGCUUACUGAGCCGACACUGACGCUGAGGCACGAAAGCGUGGGGAUCGAACAGGAUUAGAUACCCUGGUAGUC